CGCACCCAAGGGAGGAGGAAGAGGAGGAAGAGGGAGAUCAAUGAGGCAUCGGAUGACGGCGGAGCAACCACGAGGAAAUAGUGAAUAGUGAGUGUGUGAUUUUAAGAAAGUGCUACGAAAUUGAUAACCAGGACAGUCUCUGAGAGGAGGAGGAGGUCUAGGAAAGACAUCAGGCGCCGGCGGAGCAACCUUGCGAAUCAUCGUAGUCAACGUUGCAGAUAACUCCGCUGUUGCGCAUCGGUCGGUGAGCGAAAUUUUUUUACCAAGAUAAUGGAUCUAUGGCAAUUAUAUAACAAAUAUAUCUCUCGAUAUGUGUCUGUUAAAUUAGAACAGUAAAUUAUUAGACAAAAAUAUUUCCCCUCGUAGAUCCAUUAUCUUAAAAUAGAAAUAUUGCUUGAUUUUUAAAAUGUAUUGCAUGAACGACUACAAAUCCAAGUAAAAGCUCGACACACAUAAAGCUUGACACAAAUCUGAAAUUAUAAGUGUAGGCCAAUUUAGAAAAAUUUAUAGCCAAGUUUAACCAAGAUAUAUUAGAACGUCUCUACAUACAUACGUAUGUAUAUUUGUAAAAAUACAGUUGAUUUCACUGUGUGAUAUAGCCUAUGAAAUUGAAGUUAAUUUGAAAUGUAAAGAAACACAAGAAUGUUUGACAAAUAUUUUUGUAAAAUAUUAAAUAUUUUUUAGACGAGAAAUUCACUGUACAGCUCUUAGAAUUUAUUUCGUUUUGUUUUUUUUUUUUUACAAUGUACAACGCGCUAUGUUUACACAAGGUUUCCAUGCCAUCAUUCGUAUGACGAGACUCGAGCGGACAGGUAGCGUAGGUGUAAGUCGUCACAUAUGUUAUUAAAUUUGAAAAUGCAGUCAUUCUUUGAACAAUUAGCGAUUAUCUGUCCGCGCAAUUGGUUGAUUUAAACGUUAAUAAUUUAAUAAAGCAUAAACGUACGAAACGACAAUUUCAAUGCUAAUGUUUCGUUCGCUUUAUUCAUUUUA